UACAGAGGUGGCAAGCGUUGUUCGGAAUUACUGGGCGUAAAGCGUGCGCAGGCGGUGAUGUAAGACAGAUGUGAAAUCCCCGGGCUCAACCUGGGAACUGCAUUUGUGACUGCAUAGCUGGAGUGCGGCAGAGGGGGAUGGAAUUCCGCGUGUAGCAGUGAAAUGCGUAGAUAUGCGGAGGAACACCGAUGGCGAAGGCGGCAUCCUGGACCAACACUGACACUGAUGAGCGAAAGCCAGGGGAGCAAACGGG
rnacentral:rRNA from 1 species